rnacentral:rRNA from 1 species
AUUGAACGCUGGCGGCAGGCUUAACACAUGCAAGUCGAACGAUGAUUAUCUAGCUUGCUAGAUAUGAUUAGUGGCGGACGGGUGAGUAACAUUUAGGAAUCUGCCUAGUAGUGGGGGAUAGCUCGGGGAAACUCGAAUUAAUACCGCAUACGACCUACGGGUGAAAGGGGGCGCAAGCUCUUGCUAUUAGAUGAGCCUAAAUCAGAUUAGCUAGUUGGUGGGGUAAAGGCCCACCAAGGCGACGAUCUGUAACUGGUCUGAGAGGAUGAUCAGUCACACCGGAACUGAGACACGGUCCGGACUCCUACGGGAGGCAGCAGUGGGGAAUAUUGGACAAUGGGGGCAACCCUGAUCCAGCCAUGCCGCGUGUGUGAAGAAGGCCUUUUGGUUGUAAAGCACUUUAAGCAGGGAGGAGAGGCUAAUGGUUAAUACCCAUUAGAUUAGACGUUACCUGCAGAAUAAGCACCGGCUAACUCUGUGCCAGCAGCCGCGGUAAUACAGAGGGUGCGAGCGUUAAUCGGAAUUACUGGGCGUAAAGCGAGUGUAGGUGGCUCAUUAAGUCACAUGUGAAAUCCCCGGGCUUAACCUGGGAACUGCAUGUGAUACUGGUGGUGCUAGAAUAUGUGAGAGGGAAGUAGAAUUCCAGGUGUAGCGGUGAAAUGCGUAGAGAUCUGGAGGAAUACCGAUGGCGAAGGCAGCUUCCUGGCAUAAUAUUGACACUGAGAUUCGAAAGCGUGGGUAGCAAACAGGAUUAGAUACCCUGGUAGUCCACGCCGUAAACGAUGUCUACUAGCCGUUGGGGUCCUUGAGACUUUAGUGGCGCAGUUAACGCGAUAAGUAGACCGCCUGGGGAGUACGGCCGCAAGGUUAAAACUCAAAUGAAUUGACGGGGGCCCGCACAAGCGGUGGAGCAUGUGGUUUAAUUCGAUGCAACGCGAAGAACCUUACCUGGUCUUGACAUAGUGAGAAUCCUGCAGAGAUGCGGGAGUGCCUUCGGGAAUUCACAUACAGGUGCUGCAUGGCUGUCGUCAGCUCGUGUCGUGAGAUGUUGGGUUAAGUCCCGCAACGAGCGCAACCCUUUUCCUUAUUUGCCAGCGGGUUAAGCCGGGAACUUUAAGGAUACUGCCAGUGACAAACUGGAGGAAGGCGGGGACGACGUCAAGUCAUCAUGGCCCUUACGACCAGGGCUACACACGUGCUACAAUGGUAGGUACAGAGGGUUGCUACACAGCGAUGUGAUGCUAAUCUCAAAAAGCCUAUCGUAGUCCGGAUUGGAGUCUGCAACUCGACUCCAUGAAGUCGGAAUCGCUAGUAAUCGCAAAUCAGAAUGCUGCGGUGAAUACGUUCCCGGGCC